UCCGGCUCGGCCAAUGAUGACAUCUAUGAGCUCCCUCAUCGAGUUCCAAUACGCAGACGACAACAGUGUUGCAGUUCUCUCAGAAAAUCAUCUGCACCAGAUCCUGACUGCCUUCAACAGUGCAUACACGAAACUUGGACUUACCAUCAACUCCAAGAAGACUCGGGUUAUCUACCAAUCGUCACCAACUGAGACAAAUCGGAAAGAACCGUCAA